rnacentral:tRNA from 1 species
CCCUCGAUAGCUCAGUUGGAAGAGCGCAAGACUGUAAAUCUUGAUGUCGCUGGUUCGAUCCCGGCUCGAGGGA